rnacentral:rRNA from 1 species
AGUGAACGCUGGCGGUAGGCCUAACACAUGCAAGUCGAACGGCAGCACAGGAGAGCUUGCUCUCUGGGUGGCGAGUGGCGGACGGGUGAGGAAUACAUCGGAAUCUACUCUGUCGUGGGGGAUAACGUAGGGAAACUUACGCUAAUACCGCAUACGACCUACGGGUGGAAGCAGGGGACCUUCGGGCCUUGCGCGAUUGAAUGAGCCGAUGUCGGAUUAGCUAGUUGGCGGGGUAAAGGCCCACCAAGGCGACGAUCCGUAGCUGGUCUGAGAGGAUGAUCAGCCACACUGGAACUGAGACACGGGCCAGACUCCUACGGGAGGCAGCAGUGGGGAAUAUUGGACAAUGGGCGCAAGCCUGAUCCAGCCAUACCGCGUGGGUGAAGGAGGCCUUCGGGUUGUAAAGCCCUUUUGUUGGGAAAGAAAUCCAGCUGGCUAAUACCCGGUUGGGAUGACGGUACCCAAAGAAUAAGCACCGGCUAACUUCGUGCCAGCCGCCGCCGUAA